UAGGGAAUAUUGCAUAAUGGGCGAAAGCCUGAUGCAGCAACGCCGCGUGUGCGAUGACGGCCUUCGGGUUGUAAAGCACUUUUGGAAGGGAUGAGGAAGGACAGUACCUUCUGAAUAAGCCUCGGCUAACUACGUGCCAGCAGCCGCGGUAAAACGUAGGAGGCGAGCGUUAUCCGGAUUUACUGGGCGUAAAGCGCGUGCAGGCGGUUCGGUAAGUCGGAUGUGAAAGCUCCUGGCUUAACUGGGAGAGGUCGUUCAAUACUACCGGACUUGAGUGUGGGAGAGGGAGGUGGAAUUCCGGGUGUAGUGGUGAAAUGCGUAGAUAUCCGGAGGAACACCAGUGGCGAAAGCGGCCUCCUGGCCCAAUACUGACGCUCAGACGCGAAAGCUAGGGGAGCGA
rnacentral:rRNA from 1 species